GAUGAACGCUGGCGGCGUGCCUAAUACAUGCAAGUAGAACGCUGAAGGAAGGAGCUUGCUCUUUCCGGAUGAGUUGCGAACGGGUGAGUAACGCGUAGGUAACCUGCCUGGUAGCGGGGGAUAACUACUGGAAACGAUAGCUAAUACCGCAUAACAGUAUAUGUUGCAUGAUAUCUACUUAAAAGGUGCAAUUUCACCACUACCAGAUGGACCUGCGUUGUAUUAGCUAGUUGGUGAGGUAACUGCUCACCAAGGCGACGAUACAUAGCCGACCUGAGAGGGUGAUCGGCCACACUGGGACUGAGACACGGCCCAGACUCCUACGGGAGGCAGCAGUAGGGAAUCUUCGGCAAUGGAGGGAAGUCUGACCGAGCAAGGCCGGGUGAGUGAAGGAGGUUUUCGGAUCGUAAAGCUCUGUUGUAAGAGAAGAACGAGUGUGAGAGUGGAAAGUUCACAGUGUGACGGUAUCUUAAGAGAAAGGGACGGCUAACUACGUG
rnacentral:rRNA from 1 species